rnacentral:rRNA from 1 species
UACGUAGGUGACUAGCGUUGUCCGGAAUCACUGGGCGUAAAGGGCGCGUAGGCGGCGCGAGUAGUCAACGGUGAAAGCCCGGGGCUCAACCCCGGGUCGGCCGUCGAUACUCUCGUGCUUGAGCACUGUAGAGGCAGGUGGAAUUCCGGGUGUAGUGGUGAAAUGCGUAGAGAUCCGGAGGAACACCAGUGGCGAAGGCGACACGCUGGGCCGUACCUGACGCUAAAACGCGACAGCAUGGGGAGCGAACGGG